GUCGAAGCUUCUGGACUUUCUGAACCUAAACCUUUUCCUCGCAGUUUGUCUCUGCAAAGUGACAAGUCUUUGUACAGAUACAUCGAUUUUAAAAGAGACGCGACAGAUGAAGCUUCUGGACUUUCUGGACCUAAACCUUCUCCUCGCAGUUUGUCUCUGAAAAGUGACGGCUCUUUGUUCAGAAACAUCGAUUUUAAAAGAGAUGCAGCCUCAGACUGUGACUCUGCCUACGCGUCUGUGAGCUGUGACCGCUCUCUGCUCAGAAACUGGGAUUUUCCAUCAUCUUCAAAACCAAAAACAGAACCUGAACAUGGGAGCAGAUAUGUGUCCCCGAAGAAAAAGAACUCCAUUGACAGAGACUUGCACUUUAAAAAAGCGACGGCGCAGUGGAUCUCAGAGGAAACACUAAACUCCAUAUUUACGCGUCUGGAGCACAGUCUCAUUAGUUUUGUGAAAGAGGAACUGAAGCGGUACCACAGAGUUCUGGCCUCAGAUUACCCACAAUGCCUUGAGAACGAGGAGGACGAGGAGCAGAGGAACAGAGAGUCAUUUCUGAACAUCACUAUGGAUGUUCUGAGGAGGAUGCAGCAUCAGGAGCUGGCGGAGAAACUUCA